rnacentral:lncRNA from 1 species
GUAAAAGUUCCAUUUGAUCCGAACACUUCAAAUAAAAUACUUGGAUGAGGAAAAUGAAGAG